rnacentral:rRNA from 1 species
AUUGAACGCUGGCGGCAGGCCUAACACAUGCAAGUCGAGCGGAUGAAGGGAGCUUGCUCCUGGAUUCAGCGGCGGACGGGUGAGUAAUUCCUAGGAAUCUGCCCGGUAGUGGGGGAUAACGUCCGGAAACGGGCGCUAAUACCGCAUACGUCCUGAGGUAGAAAGUGGGGGAUCUUCGGACCUCACGCUAUCAGAUGAGCCUAGGUCGGAUUAGCUAGUUGGUGGGGUAAAGGCCUACCAAGGCGACGAUCCGUAACUGGUCUGAGAGGAUGAUCAGUCACACUGGAACUGAGACACGGUCCAGACUCCUACGGGAGGCAGCAGUGGGGAAUAUUGGACAAUGGGCGAAAGCCUGAUCCAGCCAUGCCGCGUGUGUGAAGAAGGUCUUCGGAUUGUAAAGCUCUUUAAGUUGGGAGGAAGGGAAGUAAGUUAAUACCUUGCUGUUUUGACGUUACCAACAGAAUAAGCACCGGCUAACUACGUG